rnacentral:lncRNA from 1 species
UUUUUUUUUUUUUUUUUUUUUUUUUUUUUUUGGUCUUUUUAGGGCCGCGUCUGAGUCAUAUGGAGGUUCCCAGGCGAGUGUUCGAAUCAGCUACAGCUGCUGGCCUACACCACAGCCACAGCAAUGCAGGAUCAGAGCCUCAUCUUCAACCUACACCGCAGCUCACAACAAUGCCAGAUCCCUGACCCACUAAGCGAGGCCAGGGAUUGAACCCCCAUCCUGAUGAAUACUAGUCAGGUUCAUUUCUGCUGUGCUACAUCGGGAACUCCCCAUCCUCAACUUCCUAAUUUAUAAAGUGGGAAGAAUAAUAGAACCCAAUUUAAGGGGCUGUAAUUUUAUUUUUUUUUGAUAGGCAAGAAAUAGAUUUAUUAACAUAGGACACUUGUGAGAGAUGCAAAUGGGCAGGCAAGGAGGCUCUGACCUAGGGCCAUAAUUUUAAAAAAAAAAUUAAAUGAGCUAAUAUAUGUACAAAUCCCUAGUACCUGGGACCUAGUAAGUAUUUAAUACAUGUUACCUAUUAUUAUAAAAAUAAUAUAUUAUUAUUAAAUGAGGAACUAAUCUAUUUUCAACCUAGAUGUCCUUGCUGUGACCUCUUUCCUCCCCUGUAUCUUCCCCCAUCGAAUCCCCCUUGGUACAAAAGCUGUUUGGAGACUAUUUCUGCCCGAGGAUAUGAAUUUGGAAAGAAAACAAAAAUAAGGCAAUCAGGCUACAAAAAUUCCUCUUUGCCAAGAUGGCUUUGAGCCAGGCCUGCUGGCAGUCAGAAUGCAUGAACCAAGGGGAGAUGAAGGGUACAGUUGCCUCCAGAAAAAUGCCACUACCAGGUUCAAUCUCUGGCCUGACGUCAGAGCUUGCCUCCUCCGUGACAAAGCAAGCUGGACUGGACAAGUAGCCUUUGCUGGCCCAGAAGCCCCUGCAGAGGUCAGGACCAAAUCUGCAAGUAUUACUCAGCCUGACACUCCCACCAGGAGAGUGAGGGCAGAGCCAGGACCACCAGGUAGGUCUCCUCUCACAGAGCCAGGCAGGCCGGGCCAGGAAGUAACAACACAUCCAUUCCCAGGCAGACCAGAGGGGUGCUUCCUUCAUGUACCCAUAGGCAAUGUAACUAUAGCAUGACAUCAGAACAGUCAGGACUGAGCCAAAGUCAAGGAUGAGAGAGAGGGUCCAGCCUUCCAGGAAGAGGGAAAACAAGUGAAGAGUUCCCGAGGGAGGAAGGUGAGUACAAGAGUGAAUAGAAGGUCACUGUAAGCUGGACAGCAGAGAGCCAGGGCCUGAGUGGCUCCAGAGAAGGGCGGGGCGGGGGGGGGGGGGGGGGGGGGGGGGGGGUGGCGGGGACUUGACCCCCAGAACCUCUGGCUCUGUUGAAGACUUUCGUUUUUAUCCUAAUGCAAAUGGAACAUUUUAAGUAGAAGAGAGACAAGCUCAGAUGUGCAAUGUUUAAACAAUUCACUCAACAAAUAUUUUUGGAGUUCCUGUUGUGGCUCAGUGGUUAAGGAACCCAACUAUCAUCCAUGAGGACAAAGGUUUGAUCCCUGACCUCACUCAGUGGGUUAAGGAUGUGGCGUUGCCAUGAGCUGUGGUGUAGGUUGCAGACACGGCUCAGAUCCUGAGUUGCUGUGGCUGUGGUGGAGGCCGGCGGCUACAGCUCCGAUUGGACCCCUAGCCUGGGAACUUCCAUAUGCCGUUGGUGCAGCCCUAAAAAUGACCAAGAAAAAAAAAAGGUGGAGGAGGCGCUUAAAUACAUAACGUAUAAGGUAUACUGUAUUAGGUAUAAUGUAGUCUAAUGUAGUGUAGAGACUGUAAGUGUUGACGCUAGUGUCUGAUGGCCCAAGCCCACAGUCUGGCUCUACCAUCGACGUAAGAGUUGUGAGACCUGAGCAAAUUGCUUCACCUCCCUUUUCUUUAGCAGUAUUUUUAUUCAAGCCAGAGCAUAAAAGAGAAAUAGGAUCUGGAUAUACAGAGAUGGGGGAAGGAGGGGCGGGGGUGGGGGCGUGGCUGGGAAGAACAUCAGUCAAGACAGGGAGACCUCGAAAAUGAGACGAGGCAGCUCCACUGGGCAGGAGACCAAGUGUGUUAGUAGAAACAUGAAGUUGUGAAGGGUAUUAACACGUUUUGGAUUUUUACCAGGUGCCAGAAGUCUGCACGCAUUAAUGCAUUUCAUCUUCACAACAACCCUACAAGAAGGAGGGAUUUCUUUUCUUUCACUUACUAGGCCUUUAGUGCUCGGAGAUGCUGAGCAGCUCGACCGAGCUUGUAGGUGGAAGAGAAUGGAUGGAGACCCCAAUCCUCUCCCACCAAAGUUCAAACGUGCUCCACUCUGACCGCGCCCACACCCACCGCCAGAGUGGGACGGCAUCUUCUCCCGAGCGAUUGCCCCCACGAGCCCCAAGCACAGAGGGGUGUGAUUGUGGACAUGCCGGAGCCUCAUCUACAUCUGCAAAGGUAGUUCUGGAAAACGUAUUCAAAAAUGCUUUGCGCGAAAAGAUAUUGUCAGACUGAGGACAAUGCCUUCCCAAGGGGGGCUCUUUGUGGAGUCCUUUGGAUAUGCAAGAUCUCUGGUGGGUUUUAUUUUUUUAUUUUUUACUUUUUCGUCUUCCCCCCCGCCCCCCGCCAGGGCCACACCCAUGGCAUAUGGAGGUGUCCGGGCUAGGGGUCAAAUCGGAGUUGUAGCCGUCGGCCUACGCCACAGCUACAGAAACACCAGAUCCGAGCCGCGUCUGCGACCUACACCACAGCUCACGGCAACACUUAACCCACUGAGCAAGGUCAGGGAUUGAACCCAAAACCUCAUGGUUCCCAGUUGGAUUCAUUAACCACUGCGCCACGACGGGAACUCCUCUGGUGGUUUUUAAAGCAUCCACCUACUUUCCAAUCACACCUCUUUGUUACCUUGGAGUAGUAACAAAUUAAGCCGGAAUCAGCUAUUCACACUGAAUGAUUUUAUAAAGCUUGCUUCGCUCCCACAGCUUCGCUACUUUAAAUGCAAGCCACUUGCCUAAGGAAGCAGAUAAGGUGGAAACUGCAUUAAAAGAAGGUGGCAUAAAUCAUACUUCAAGAUCCCAGACACGUUCCUUCCAGAAUUCCUUUUUCAUAGAUACUCCUAGUUCUCAGUCAAGUUUAAAAAAAAAAAAAA